rnacentral:rRNA from 1 species
GAGUUUGAUCCUGGCUCAGAACGAACGCUGGCGGCAGGCUUAACACAUGCAAGUCGAACGAUAAGCUCUCUUCGGAGAGUGGACAGUGGCAGACGGGUGAGUAACGCGUAGCAACCUACCUAGUAGUACGGAAUAACGCUUAGAAAUGAGUGCUAAUACCGUAUACGCCCUUUUGGGGAAAGAUUCAUCGCUAUUAGAUGGGGCUGCGUUAGAUUAGCUAGUUGGUGAGGUAAGAGCUCACCAAGGCGACGAUCUAUAGCGGGUCUGAGAGGAUGAUCCGCCACACUGGGACUGAGACACGGCCCAGACUCCUACGGGAGGCAGCAGUGGGGAAUCUUGGACAAUGGGGGAAACCCUGAUCCAGCCAUGCCGCGUGAAUGAUGAAGGCCUUAGGGUUGUAAAAUUCUUUCGAUGGUGAAGAUAAUGACGGUAACCAUUAAAGAAGCCCCGGCUAACUCCGUGCCAGCAGCCGCGGUAAUAAGGGCGA